UGACUGCGUACCUUUUGUAUAAUGGGUCAGCGACUUAUAUUCUGUAGCAAGGUUAACCGAAUAGGGGAGCCGGAGGGAAACCGAGUCUUAAUUGGGCGUUAAGUUGCAGGGUAUAGACCCGAAACCCGGUGAUCUAGCCAUGGGCAGGUUGAAGGUUGGGUAACACUAACUGGAGGACCGAACCGACUAAUGUUGAAAAAUUAGCGGAUGACCUGUGGCUGGGGGUGAAAGGCCAAUCAAACCGGGAGAUAGCUGGUUCUCCCCGAAAGCUAUUUAGGUAGCGCCUCGUGAAUUCAUCUCCGGGGGUAGAGCACUGUUUCGGCUAGGGGGCCAUCCCGGCUUACCAACCCGAUGCAAACUGCGAAUACCGGAGAAUGUUAUCACGGGAGACACACGGCGGGUGCUAACGUCCGUCGUGAAGAGGGAAACAACCCAGACCGCCAGCUAAGGUCCCAAAGUCAUGGUUAAGUGGGAAACGAUGUGGGAAGGCCCAGACAGCCAGGAUGUUGGCUUAGAAGCAGCCAUCAUUUAAAGAAAGCGUAAUAGCUCACUGGUCGAGUCGGCCUGCGCGGAAGAUGUAACGGGGCUAAACCAUGCACCGAAGCUGCGGCAGCGACACUCAGGUGUUGUUGGGUAGGGGAGCGUUCUGUAAGCCUGUGAAGGUGGCCUGUGAGGGUUGCUGGAGGUAUCAGAAGUGCGAAUGCUGACAUAAGUAACGAUAAAGCGGGUGAAAAGCCCGCUCGCCGGAAGACCAAGGGUUCCUGUCCAACGUUAAUCGGGGCAGGGUGAGUCGACCCCUAAGGCGAGGCCGAAAGGCGUAGUCGAUGGGAAACGGGUUAAUAUUCCCGUACUUGGUGUUACUGCGAAGGGGGGACGGAGAAGGCUAUGUUGGCCGGGCGACGGUUGUCCCGGUUUAAGCGUGUAGGCUGGUUUUCCAGGCAAAUCCGGAAAAUCAAGGCUGAGGCGUGACGACGAGGCACUACGGUGCUGAAGCAACAAAUGCCCUGCUUCCAGGAAAAGCCUCUAAGCAUCAGGUAACACGAAAUCGUACCCCAAACCGACACAGGUGGUCAGGUAGAGAAUACCAAGGCGCUUGAGAGAACUCGGGUGAAGGAACUAGGCAAAAUGGUGCCGUAACUUCGGGAGAAGGCACGCUGACAUGUAGGUGAAGUGAUUUACUCAUGGAGCUGAAGUCAGUCGAAGAUACCAGCUGGCUGCAACUGUUUAUUAAAAACACAGCACUGUGCAAACACGAAAGUGGACGUAUACGGUGUGACGCCUGCCCGGUGCCGGAAGGUUAAUUGAUGGGGUCAGCGCAAGCGAAGCUCCUGAUCGAAGCCCCGGUAAACGGCGGCCGUAACUAUAACGGUCCUAAGGUAGCGAAAUUCCUUGUCGGGUAAGUUCCGACCUGCACGAAUGGCGUAAUGAUGGCCAGGCUGUCUCCACCCGAGACUCAGUGAAAUUGAACUCGCUGUGAAGAUGCAGUGUACCCGCGGCAAGACGGAAAGACCCCGUGAACCUUUACUAUAGCUUGACACUGAACAUUGAGCCUUGAUGUGUAGGAUAGGUGGGAGGCUUUGAAGUGUGGACGCCAGUCUGCAUGGAGCCGACCUUGAAAUACCACCCUUUAAUGUUUGAUGUUCUAACGUGGACCCGUGAUCCGGGUUGCGGACAGUGUCUGGUGGGUAGUUUGACUGGGGCGGUCUCCUCCUAAAGAGUAACGGAGGAGCACGAAGGUUGGCUAAUCCUGGUCGGACAUCAGGAGGUUAGUGCAAUGGCAUAAGCCAGCUUGACUGCGAGCGUGACGGCGCGAGCAGGUGCGAAAGCAGGUCAUAGUGAUCCGGUGGUUCUGAAUGGAAGGGCCAUCGCUCAACGGAUAAAAGGUACUCCGGGGAUAACAGGCUGAUACCGCCCAAGAGUUCAUAUCGACGGCGGUGUUUGGCACCUCGAUGUCGGCUCAUCACAUCCUGGGGCUGAAGUAGGUCCCAAGGGUAUGGCUGUUCGCCAUUUAAAGUGGUACGCGAGCUGGGUUUAGAACGUCGUGAGACAGUUCGGUCCCUAUCUGCCGUGGGCGCUGGAGAACUGAGGGGGGCUGCUCCUAGUACGAGAGGACCGGAGUGGACGCAUCACUGGUGUUCGGGUUGUCAUGCCAAUGGCACUGCCCGGUAGCUAAAUGCGGAAGAGAUAAGUGCUGAAAGCAUCUAAGCACGAAACUUGCCCCGAGAUGAGUUCU
rnacentral:rRNA from 1 species